rnacentral:rRNA from 1 species
AUACGUAGGUGGCGAGCGUUAUCCGGAAUGAUUGGGCGUAAAGGGCGCGUAGGCGGCCCGGUAAGUCUGGAGUGAAAGUCCUGUUUUUAAGAUGGGAAUUGCUUUGGAUACUGUCGGGCUUGAGUGCAGGAGCGGUAAGUGGAAUUCCCAGUGUAGCGGUGAAAUGCGUAGAGAUUGGGAGGAACACCAGUGGCGAAGGCGACUUACUGGACUGUAACUGACGCUGAGGCGCGAAAGUGUGGGGAGCAAACAGGAUUAGAUACCCUGGUAGUCCACACUGUAAACGAUGAAUGCUAGGUGUAGGGGGUAUCGACCCCUUCUGUGCCGCAGUCAACACAAUAAGUAUCCCACCUGGGGAGUACGGCCGCAAGGUUGAAACUCAAAGGAAUUGACGGGG